rnacentral:rRNA from 1 species
UACGGAGGGUGCAAGCGUUAUCCGGAUUCACUGGGUUUAAAGGGUGCGUAGGCGGACAGGUAAGUCAGUGGUGAAAUCUCCGAGCUUAACUCGGAAACUGCCUUUGAUACUCUCUGUCUUGAAUAUGGUGGAGGUAAGCGGAAUAUGUCAUGUAGCGAUGAAAUGCUUAGAGAUGACAUAGAACACCUAUUGCGAAGGCAGCUUACUACGCCUAUAUUGACGCUGAGGCACGAAAGCGUGGGGAUCAAACAGG